rnacentral:misc_RNA from 1 species
GAUAUAGUAAAAGAAGACUUCUUGGUUUUCAUAGUCUACAAAUUUUUCGAACCAGCAAGGAUAAGAAUGAGAAUGUACAAGUACAAGGUGAUGUCAAGUUUAAAACUACCUGUCCUAUACAAUCUAUAACAUCAAGAGUUGCGCGCUACAAGUGCUAACUUGUAUUUAAGCUUCAAGCAAGUAAACAAAGUCCACUUUGCUAGGCUACUCCAUUCUGGUAUUCAUGGCUUCCGUAAGAUGUGAUUUGUUGCAAACUCCUUAAUCUAACUUGUAAAAAGAGGGUAUUGAAUAACUCAACUGCAAGUGGACCAACCCGAACUUUAUGCACCAACUACAACUUCCCGUGGAGCAAGUGAUUCACGAUCCAGGUAAGCCAUAGAGAGACAAACCAAAAAUCGAUGACAAGCCACAGCUGUUGCUUUGAUAAAUAUCAGACAUGAAGAGCAUAAAAACCUCAUCAUCAGUAUAUGACUUUUUCUUGCAGAACCUAAUACCUUGAAUAUAAUCAGUUUAAGCCGGCGAUCUCUAAGGGUUGACUUGCAAUCAUAGUCCCGUGAAAAUACCGCAGAAGACGGUCCUACUAUUGCAUUGAGCGCACCAGUUAGCUGCAUUUGGGAGCUAAUUACAUUACUUCCAAGUGCUUCAAAUAUCCACUGGGACAGUAUAGCAGCAACAAUUCUGCAAAGGUGUUGACGAAAGAACUUUGCCUCCUUGGAAAUAAAUGCUCUAACUAAUGAAGCACCAUCUGCUGUCAUUAACAAUCUUCUCAGCACAAUACCGUCUUUAGAUGGCAGUAUUCUCAAUACCAAGUUUGCAACAUCAAAUACACCAGAGGCUCCAUCAGAAGAAUAAGCUAGAGAUACUUGAGGAUUUGGUGCCAUGAUAGUGUUCAAAUAAGCAAGAGAUGCUUGGGGAUUUGAUGCAGUGAUAGUGUUCAACCCUUUCCUAUUUGCCGCCGCCCUUAGGAAAAGAGCUAGCUUUUCCCACUGAAAUUCUUUGUUUCUGUUUAAUACCACCGAAUGCAGAAUUUUCCUCGAUGCAACAGAAUUAUCAGAGAGAAGCUUCCGAACAACAUAUGGAAAUGCAGCUUCAAAAGUUUUGAAACUUGGAUCUCCAGCCACUGCCAAUCCUUCUAAUGAGGCAAGAGAACGAAGAAGAAGGGUGAAGUAUGGUGGCAUGCGGAAAUGAUACUUGAAUGCUACAGACACUAUUUUACUCAAAACCCGGCUAAACUUGAUAUCAGGAAUUUCACCCUUCAAUUCAACUUCCCCCAAAGCAACUUCCAAAUCCAUGGUGACAAGGCGUAAAUUAGUCCCUGGCUUAACAACAUCCAUUUCAGUUAGAUCGAGCACAAGAGACUCCCAAUCACCAUUCACAAUAUGCACAAUGGAUGCAAGCAUAGCAUACUGAUGCUUUCUUUUCACCCGACAAAGCAAACCAAAAUCAAGAAACCCUAUUUUUGCUGAUGAUGUGUAUCUUAAAUUUCCAGGGUGUGGAUCAGCGUGUAGUAACCCAGUGUCAAGGAGUUGAAUUAAUGAUGCCUGUACUCCUUUGUUAACCAGAUCAAGCAGACGUUGUUUAGCUUCACUUUGGCA